AAAUCAAGUUCAUCACUCAUCUGAGACAGAACAGUCCAUUUUUGAAUGAUAUUGAGAUAAUGAGGAACAGUAUGGGUGUAACGUAGAAUACACUGAAUGUCAGGCCUUACACGGUGGUGUAGUGACAUUGGAGGCAGAGCAGAGAGACUGAGUGGUGAGGCCAUGAGCUGUAAUGGUAUCUUCUGCAGAGCAGAGGGGUAGGGGAUGUCCUCAGUGCAACCACGCAGCGGAGUAAUGACUUCAGCUGAGUAAGGAAGCAGAGCAACCAAAGUGGAGCAGGGAGGGUGGGAGAUGAUUUUACCUAGGUUGUGAGCCCCCUCCUCAAAGAAUUUCCUGAGGGGGCACCUGGCAUUGAGCCAUUUGAGUGGCUCUGACCCAACUUCCCUUCCCCAGUAGUUCCCACAUCAGGCAAUUUUUCUCCCCUCUACAAAGGUAUGACAAAGAGUGGCCUCAAAGUCUGGGUUUAAGCAUCCGGCCUCGCAAGUGCAGGCAAUCCCAGUUAAUCAGCCUGGAGUGUUCUGGGUAACUGAGUUCCCCCACACGGCAACUCUUGCGGUGCACUGCUGCUGUCCUCUGCUGACUGUGCGAGGUGUAGCACAGCCUCUUACAACUCACUUGUGCCUUAAUACGUCUUAAAAUGCUACAAGCAACAUAUGGAGAAAUUAAGCAUUUGUUUUAAUCCUAUGUGCCAUGAUAUGGCAAUGACAAUUCCAUGGAUGCAGCAUUCUCUUUUAGUGAAACACAACACAAGUUUUAAUGCAUUAAAAAGCCCUUUUUGUUGGAAAGAAACAGAAUGGUAAUGGGUAGCUGAUUGGCCUACAGUGAGUGACACAUCAUGUGUAAGUGAGUUCUUAAAAGAGCCGGACACUGCCAGUACCAGCAGUGUGAUCCUGACUCCAGGACAGGAGUCAAAAUGGGAAAGGCACAGCUGCACAAAAGCAUUCCAAAUAGUGAGACCCCUUGCUCACAGAAACAGCACACAGGCCAGUAUACUAUUUCCCAAAGCACCAGCUCAGCCUAAAACGUCUCUUUACGUAAGUGCCUGAUGAAUGUGAAGGUGUCAGGGUUGGACUAAAGUCGGAACAAACUGAACCAGUGGACAGAGAGUAUCACAGCGCGUACUCUCAUUUAAAAAAAACAGACAUGGAAAAGCAUUAAGUAUUAAGUACGUUGGUAGUUGGGCUAUAAUGCAGAAGAGUGACACGGCACUACACACAGCCAGCUGCUAUUCCUGGGACAACACCACCGAUGGACUCUGCAUGGUCAGAUGGGAGAACUAUGCAAUAAUACAUUUUAUUUGUUGCCGCCUUUCAUAACACUCAAGGAUACCUUAUAAGAAAGACAACAUACAGAUAUAGCCGCAAGCGGUGAUUAUCGGGAUCCAAGCACAAACUGCUUGUGUACAGUUAUACGAUUGACCAUGUCUCUUUUCAAAUAUAAUACAAGUCUUUAAGUGUCUCUACAUGGAAGUGUUAUUCUAUGUACUAUAUUACAAUAUACAAAUAAUAUUGUCUUCAUUUUAGUUGGACAGCAAUGCAUUCAGUCAUGUCUAGCAACUUAACAAAUGUUUUCAGUAUUUAGGAUAAAUAAAAAUGAAGGUAUUUUGAAGAUCACAGAUUUCUUUUGCAAACGGAUUAGGCUUAGAUGGUUUUAGACUUUAUUGCACUAGACGGUAGAGUAGUGCGUAGUGUAAGUACAUAGUGUAAGUGUACAGUACUUCAUUAAGGACACUACUUUAAUAUUUACUCUCCGAAGUGUGUUUUCAGUACAGAAGUAAUGUAAUGAGUAAACGCACCGUGCAGACCAACUAAUCGAAAAUGAGAUUCGUUUCCAACGAUUUUCAUAAUCGAUUAUUAUCGAUUAGUUGUUGCAGCUCUAAAUAUAAUAUAACAUUUGCAAUCACUGUGAUGGAGAAAAUAUGGAAUGCAAAGUGCAAUCUUCUUUAUUGAUCUAUUUGUUUAUAUCCCUAUUCCAUUCAUUUCUAUGAUUUAGUCAUCUGGUGGGCGUGGUUGAGUGCGCAGGUGCGUCAUUCAAACCGAGCGAGAUGACCGUUGAGAAUCAGCGCGAGACAGCUCCUUUCAGGGUGGUUCCUACUAGGUCUGCUAAUGGGACCGCCCUCCUGACUGGCUGCCUAUAAAGUCACCCGCUCCAGCGGUGCUGAGCAGCGAGAUGUCACGGAGAAGAGUGUGUCCAGUUUGUCGGCGUUUCUACACCAACAUGCAGGCUCAUCUCGCCCAGAUUCAUCAGCAGGGUCCAGAGGAACGCUGGCUUCACCUGGCGGCAGCGAGCGAGCGGGUGAUAUGCGGGUGCUCUGGACUGCCCGGUGUCUGCAUGCGGCAGGAAAGGUUUCCGCCGGCUAGACUGCCACCUGUUCCACCUUCACCAGCUCGGCGGGGACACGGUCAGGAAGCUACUGCUCAGCGCCAAAAUAAAGCUGCUCGACAACAACUGCAAGCUUUCGGUGAGGCGAAGAAAUCUAAAAGUUGCAAAUGUUCUGAACUGAUCGAAAAGUAGCAAAACUCUCCGCAGAAUUUGAGCGGCUGCAAGCGAUAGUAGCCCGGAAAGAGUAGUGGCUCUGUGGGUGAGUACCUAAACUAGCUCUAGGCCUAUUUUUAUUGUGUGUGGGCGGCGGACUCCAGGUGGUCGCCCGGGGUGGACGUCCCAGGAUGAAAUUUGUUUUUCUUUCACUGAUCCCCCCCCCCUUUUUUUUUCUCUUUUCCAGAGCCAAUGUUAAGUGUACACGGCUUGGCUGACAAGUCUCAGAUAUGUCCCCAAAGCCGCGGCCAACGGCAAGCAGGAGAGGAGACACGUCGAGGGCUUCCUUCACUUUAUGUGGGCCAACGCAGACAGUCCCCUGGCAGCUGCUGGCUCAUUACCCAAAAACACUUAAAAUUUAACAUAGAAGCCAAUACUCACAUCAACCUCUGAACCCAGUUGGAGAUAGAAAAAAAGACACCAGCCGUGAGUGAGAAGAAGCAAGGGUCCAGAUUUAUUGUUCCGUUCCACCACACGAGAAACACACCGAUGAGAAUUCUCAGAAGUGAUCUGAUACCCUGAGCUUAAGCUCCAGUAUUUAUACUGUAAUUACACAGUAAAUAACCCAUAUGUUUCAAGAAGACUAUGAUCUCAAUACCAAUAGGGUUAAAAAAGAGCUAUUCAACUUACCAUUAGCUCAAAAAACAGGGCUUUUCAACUUACAAAUAUAAUCAAAACCAGUAGCUUGACUCAGCUACCCUUAUAAAUGGCUCCUCAUGGUUUUCUCUUAAAAUUAAGGCCUUCCUUGCGAGACAAGAAUCUUCACCAUCUGAAUUAUGAGUGCCCAUCGUCAUUCCUUCUUCUCCCCUUUACUGGAUCUGGAUCUGGACACUCAUUAUCAGCUUGCGCAUCUAACUGCUGAUAUCAUGGUGCUACUUAACUAUCUUCGCAGCACCCCCUCUGGAAAUGGAAAUGCGGGGUCCCCCCCCCGAUACAAAAUCUGCCCCGUGAACGUGUGUAUUGACGCCUCUACACAGCCAAAACCCCCCUCCAGCUUUCAGUCUGAGGAAGAUGUCACCUUCUCUGACCUGGUCCCCGACCAUUCUUCCCACUUCUCACCUGCCAGUCCGCCCCACUCUCAGUGGUCCUCUCACUUCACCUUUGCUGACUUUCCCAUGUCCCCAGGAUGCACACCAUUUUCUUCCCCCCACCACUCUCCUCAAGAUUACGCACCCACCAGUCCUGUGAAUUAUCAAUAAAACUACAUAUUACUCAUACUAAGUGUCCCUCAUGUUUAUUUCAUGUCAUUUUUAUCCACAACACAGCCCACUUGAAGUACAUCGACAAUGUCUCGAGAGUCCUUGAAUGGAUGAAAUCACUGUGCCAGCGGUACAAGGUCACUCCGGCCAAGUUAUUUCUGACGCGUGUUUCCAAGUUCCUCCAUUAACUCGAUGAGUAACUGUCCAAGGGCCGAGUUGGCUCCACGAGGCUGUGGAGUCUCCAGAGACUGCUGCAGUGGGAGUGCAGACAUCUGUCCGGUCGAGUCGUGCUCCACAGGCAAGGCGUGCGAGCGGAGAAGAGUGAGGGAGUACUUACAGCUCCUGCACGGCAAACUGUUGGACGCUGUCCCUGUUUCACUGGCUGAUCUGAACUCGUCCAGCAGACCCGGACAUGCUCAACCGUUGCAUCGGGCUGCUGUGUGCUCACUUCUUUUCGGUCAGCGGACACAGGACCGGAGUCCUGCAGAACCUCACGACUGAGGAGUUUGAGAACCUCGAGAAGGCUGACUCUUUCUGAUCAAUGUGAAGCAGCACAAACCUGCCUCCGCUUUCGGAUUCGCUAAGCUAGCCGUCACCAAGCUGGAGCUGAAGUGGCUGAAAGCUUUCUGCCACCUGAGGAAGCAUAUGCCGGGAUAUGAGACUUCUGUGGGGUGGCUUUUCUUUUCUGGCACACAGGCCAGGAUUUCUGCGCAUGUCAAGCUUGCCCUGCGGGCACUCGUGGGAAGAGACAUCACUGUGUCGGACAUCCGCACAGCUCUAGCAACCUACUGCGAACGCAAAAGACGAACAACGCAUGCUCGUGACCAAGACGAUGUGCUACAGCAAUUAGCUGAGUCGUGGAGCUGUCGGUCAGCGAGGCGCACUCCGCCCAGUCUGCGCUAGAGUCCGCUGCGGGCAUAGGUGCUACAUAGGCCGGUUGUUUUUGGCUAAUGGCCCUGUGUGUGUGUGUGUGUGUGUGUGUGUGUGCAAAUAUUUC